GAUGAAGAACGCAGCGAAAUGCGAUAAGUAAUGUGAAUUGCAGAAUUCAGUGAAUCAUCGAAUCUUUGAACGCACAUUGCGCCCGCUAGUAUUCUGGCGGGCAUGCCUGUCCGAGCGUCAUUUCAACCCUCAAGCCCCCGGGCUUGGUGUUGGGGAUCGGCGAGCCUCCGCGCCCGCCGUCCCCUAAAUCUAGUGGCGGUCUCGCUGUAGCUUCCUCUGCGUAGUAGCACACCUCGCACUGGGAAACAGCGCGGCCACGCCGUUAAACCCCCAACUUCUGAACGUUUGACCUCGGAUCAGGUAGGAAUACCCGCUGAACUUAAGCAUAUCAAUAGCGGAGGA
rnacentral:misc_RNA from 1 species